rnacentral:rRNA from 1 species
UACGGAGGGUGCGAGCGUUGAUCGGAAUUACUGGGCGUAAAGCGUGCGCAGGCGGUUUGCUAAGACCGAUGUGAAAUCCCCGGGCUCAACCUGGGAACUGCAUUGGUGACUGGCAGGCUAGAGUAUGGCAGAGGGGGGUAGAAUUCCACGUGUAGCAGUGAAAUGCGUAGAGAUGUGGAGGAAUACCGAUGGCGAAGGCAGCCCCCUGGGCCAAUACUGACGCUCAUGCACGAAAGCGUGGGGAGCAAACAGG